CCUGUGAACAUACCUAUAACGUUGCCUCGGCGGGAACAGACGGCCCCGUAACACGGGCCGCCCCCGCCAGAGGACCCCCUAACUCUGUUUCUAUAAUGUUUCUUCUGAGUAAACAAGCAAAUAAAUUAAAACUUUCAACAACGGAUCUCUUGGCUCUGGCAUCGAUGAAGAACGCAGCGAAAUGCGAUAAGUAAUGUGAAUUGCAGAAUUCAGUGAAUCAUCGAAUCUUUGAACGCACAUUGCGCCCGCCAGUAUUCUGGCGGGCAUGCCUGUUCGAGCGUCAUUACAACCCUCAGGCCCCCGGGCCUGGCGUUGGGGAUCGGCGGAAGCCCCCUGCGGGCACAACGCCGUCCCCCAAAUACAGUGGCGGUCCCGCCGCAGCUUCCAUUGCGUAGUAGCUAACACCUCGCAACUGGAGAGCGGCGCGGCCACGCCGUAAAACACCCAACUUCUGAAUGUUGACCUCGAAUCAGGUAGGAAUACCCGCUGAACUUAAGCAUAUCAAUAAGCGG
rnacentral:rRNA from 1 species